rnacentral:lncRNA from 1 species
AGGCCUAGAAAACAAAAGCUCAAGUUUCUAAGCCACAAGUUAACUUAGAAAAUGAUUUGUUAGAAGAGUGUUCCAAUGAUGAAAAAGAUCGAUAAUCAGCUUCGGACGAAAAAGCCACAUCAAUUGAUAUGGUAAUUGGAGAUGUGGUCUUAGACGCCAAAACUACGCCAAUUGACAUGGUUAUUGUUGAUAAAGCCAAUAUAGAGAAAUCUCAUUAGGCUAAGUUGUUUGAGUUAAAAGCCGAAAUUGACGAAGUUAUUACGCCUGGUGGGCAUAAUAAUUGUUCAACACAUUCGGCGGCCGAAAAUAAAAAGAAUUUCACCAUGUCAAAAGUAUUUGGAGAUUAUUCUUUAUUCGGCUUAAAGCGAAAUCAAAUUGAAAAUUUUAAUAUGAAACGAUCUCUACUAUGAAUAAAACAUUGUUGGCCUUCUCCUUCUCAUGGAUCAGCCACUUUAUUCCCAUAUAUCCAUCUGGCUGUUUGAGCCGAUGAUGCAUAAGAAA